rnacentral:rRNA from 1 species
UUGGGACACGACUAAACCUAAAGGCGCAAUGAAAGUGAAAGUCCGCCUUGCGCGGACUUAGGGAGGAUGGGCGGUCGUUACGGCUACCGCCCCGCACUCCCGGGGCGUCUCGUUCUCAUUGCGAGAAGAGGCGCACCAAGAGCGUACACGCUGGGACCCGAAAGAUGGUGAACUAUGCCUGGUCAGGACGAAGUCAGGGGAAACCCUGAUGGAGGUCCGUAGCGAUUCUGACGUGCAAAUCGAUCGUCGGAACUGGGUAUAGGGGCGAAAGACUAAUCGAACCAUCUAGUAGCUGGUUCCCUCCGAAGUUUCCCUCAGGAUAGCUGGCGCUCGUUGCGUACGAGUUUCAUCCGGUAAAGCGAAUGAUUAGAGGCAUUGGGGUCGAAACGGCCUCAACCUAUUCUCAAACUUUAAAUGGGUGAGAUCUCCGGCUUGCUCGAACUCAUUUUUAAAAUGAAGCCGCGAGACUCGAAUCAGAGUGCCAAGUGGGCCAUUUUUGGUAAGCAGAACUGGCGCUGUGGGAUGAACCAAACGCCGAGUUAAAGCGCCUAAAUCGACGCUUAUGGGAUACCAUGAAAGGCGUUGGUAACUUAAGACAUCAGGACGGUGGCCAUGGAAGUCGGA